GGCUGGGGGUGCCUGCAAGGCAAAGGGCGCUUUGCGGGGGUCCCCAGGCCUCAUGGGGGGAGAUCCCCCUGGGUGCGGAUUCCCCCCGAGACACACACCCCUCUGGUCAGGGGCAGCUGCAGUGAUGCUGUGGACCAUGCUGACUGAGGCUUAUCAUCUUGCACCGUAGAGUUAGGAACUACAGAGCCUGGACGGGGAAGCCAUGCAGGAGAACUCAGAAGUUGGCGUUUCUUUGGAUUAUCUGGAGAAUGCUCCUACCACAGCCCCUCAGAUGGAAGGAACGAAGGAGGCCUGUGAUUCUGGGCCUGGAGCCUUGAAGGAAGAAGAGGAGACCCCAAGAGUUGCCCAUGCAGGUGAUGGUGAGAAAGUGGAGACCAUGAAGGAGGAGGAGGAGGAGAAGGAGAAGAAGG